rnacentral:RNase_P_RNA from 1 species
UAAGACAGACGGUCGCGGCUGCAAGUACCGAAAGGUCGCAGGUGAGGAAAGUCCGGGCUUCAUAGGGCAGGAUGCCGGAUAACGUCCGUUGGAGGUGACUCCAAGGAAAGUGCAACAGAAAUAUACCGCCUGAUUUCAGGUAAGGGUGGAAGGGCAGUGUAAGAGACUACCGCCUUCUUGGUAACAAGAGGGGCAUAUGUAAACCCCAUCCGAAGCAAAACCGAAUAAAAACCAUGUGGCGGCCCGUCACGUUUUAGGUAGGUUGCUCGAACCUGUUGGCAACAGCAGGUCUAGAUAGAUGACCGUUCAACGACAUAACCCGGCUUAUCGUCUUGCUUU